rnacentral:tRNA from 1 species
GUUUCUGUGGCGCAAUCGGUUAGCGCGUUCGGCUGUUAACCGAAAUGUUGGUUGUUCAAGCCCACCCAGGGACG